rnacentral:lncRNA from 1 species
GGUCUCUUGGUUAACACACAUGUUCUCAGGAGAUUCUACUGAACUGUGACCCAUGGUCUCAGUCUUGGUUUCAAUUAUUGCAUGGUGUAUUCUGUGGUUUCUUCAAGGGUUUGGAAAUUCUUGGGUUACCCCCCAGGCAGUGGUGUAAAUACCUAUGACCUCCUACUCCUUGGGGUGUGGUUCUGGAGUGUGGUGAGGAAGCCUUGGAUAGGCUGGGAUGGGCUGCCCACAAAAAUAGAACGUGCAGUCAUUUCCCUGCCUUGGGAGUAAGAUUCCAGGUGGAUGGCCAGGCC